rnacentral:rRNA from 1 species
CGCGUAGGCGGCUUUAUAAGUCUGGAGUGAAAGUCCUCUUUUCAAGGGAGGAAUUGCUUUGGAAACUAUAGAGCUUGAGUGCAGGAGAGGUUAUCGGAAUUCCCGGUGUAGCGGUGAAAUGCGUAGAUAUCGGGAGGAACAUCGGUGGCGAAGGCGGGUAACUGGACUGCAACUGACGCUGAGGCGCGAAAGUGUGGGGAAGCAAACA